rnacentral:misc_RNA from 1 species
AACAGUGCAAAAAUCAGACAGUGCGUAGCCAGUCGUCGUUGAGGUGAGACGUUUUCCUCGCGCCUCAGUUUUCCGCAGAUACCGGGAGCCGCGUUUUUAAACCCGCAUUUGUAUAUUGCUUCAUCCUUACAGUCACCGGCUAUCCUAUGAAUGAAUUGAUGACAAUGGACAGAUUACCAAUCGACCCAGAUGACCUGAUUGCGUAAUGAAGAACUGGGGGAAGUCUGAAUUGGAUGUAAGUGUACCACCGUCCCAGCGCCGAUGACAACAUCAACUGAACCGAGAGUGGACGGCGAGCAUGGCGAACGCGACCGACGCGUUAUGCGUGCCCGGCGCCACCGAUUUCAACAAGGCGUACAGUCGGCUCCACGGAUACAUCGCUCUGGUCAUCUGCAUUGUAGGCUCUGCUACGAAUUCCAUCAACAUUGCCGUACUCAGCCGCCGAGAGAUGACGAGCCCAACAAACUCCAUCCUCACCGGACUCGCCGUCGCCGACCUACUAGUCAUGCUCGAAUAUAUACCCUACGCACUUCACAUGAACAUCAAAAUUGGGCCUCAAGUUAACAAAAACACAUACGCGUGGACAGUUUUUGUUUAUUUCCAUUCCAUAUUCAGUCAAACUUUCCAUACAAUCUCAAUUUGGUUGGCCGUUACUUUAGCAGUGUGGCGGUACAUUGCUAUCGCCUAUCCACAAAAGAACAGAACUUGGUGCAGUAAAAGAAAUACGACUAUUGCCAUAGUGAGUGCAUAUAUAAUGUGCCCUUUUUUGUGUCUUCCUAUUUAUUUCGCAAUGAAUAUAGUUCCCAGUGAAGUUACGCCGCAAAACAAUUCAGAAUUUGCCGAAGAUCUCGCACUGCCUCAUAACCGGACCGUGUAUGUGCUAGAAAUGUCCAAAAAUGUAGAAUUAGUCACAGCAAUAAUGUGGAUCUAUAGUGUUAUACUUAAACUUGUUCCAAGUAUAGCUCUGUCAAUACUAAGCACAUGUUUAAUAUCGAAGUUAACAACAACAGAAAGAAAAAGGCAAAAACUUCUCAAGCGGUCAACAGUUGGACCGAACGAGCCGGAGAAGCAGUGCCUAGCAGAGGAGUCGUGUGCACGGCGUGCCAGUAGGACGGACCGUACUACUAGAAUGCUGCUAGCAGUCCUGGGCCUAUUCCUGUCGACGGAGGUCCCCCAAGGCCUGUUAGGCCUCGCCAGCGCCCUCGCGCCGGACUUCUUCAAAAGCUGUUACAGCAUGUUCGGUGACUUGAUGGACGUUCUAGCGCUAUUCACGUCCUCUGUUAACUUCGUGCUGUACUGCAGCAUGAGUAGGCAGUUCCGUUGCACGUUCGCCAGAUUAGCGCGACGCAUGCUGUCCGCUACCGAGGAACCGGCGAAGUUCGCUACGAAACUCGAGCCUACAACGCAGGUCACCGGCCCGCUAUAGCGACAAAUACCCACCCUAAUUAGGGUGGUAGAAGAAAGUAUCAUAUAAACUUUAAUGAGGUGACUACGCUCUCUAAUAUAAGACAUCAAUAUUAUAGAAUAAUAGAAGGAUAAGUAUAGAAAAAUGUACUGUAAGAUUUAUAAUAAUUGUAUGUUGUAGAUGUUUUUAAUAUGAUUGUCAACUAGUUUUUGCGUCUCUUGAGCCAAGACGCAAGACCUAGACAAAAAUAAAACUUAACGCAUUUUCUAAGGUA